rnacentral:rRNA from 1 species
GAUGAACGCUGGCGGCGUGCCUAAUACAUGCAAGUCGAGCGAACGGACGAGAAGCUUGCUUUUCUGAUGUUAGCGGCGGACGGGUGAGUAACACGUGGAUAACCUACCUAUAAGACUGGGAUAACUUCGGGAAACCGGAGCUAAUACCGGAUAAUAUUUUGAACCGCAUGGUUCAAAAGUGAAAGACGGUCUUGCUGUAACUUAUAGAUGGAUCCGCGCUGCAUUAGCUAGUUGGUAAGGUAACGGCUUACCAAGGCAACGAUGCAUAGCCGACCUGAGAGGGUGAUCGGCCACACUGGAACUGAGACACGGUCCAGACUCCUACGGGAGGCAGCAGUAGGGAAUCUUCCGCAAUGGGCGAAAGCCUGACGGAGCAACGCCGCGUGAGUGAUGAAGGUCUUCGGAUCGUAAAACUCUGUUAUUAGGGAAGAACAUAUGUGUAAGUAACUGUGCACAUCUUGACGGUACCUAAUCAGAAAGCCACGGCUAACUACGUG